CAUGUGCAGAAACACAAUACCUGAAUGAGAUCUACUGGAUUACAUAGAAUUAGAUGACCUAGUCCUGGAAUCGUAGGGCUCAUGUUUUUAAGGACAGGCUCUCUGUCGGCAGAUUUUGUGUGUUUGUGCGUAUACACACCUACUCAUAUAAAGCCAUAACCAGACUGCUGAGCAAUGGGCAUGAAUAAUUGACUAAUCUUGCUCUCAUUUCUUCUAUUUGUCACCUCAAUGGCCACUACUAUUGGUCCUACAGAGGCUUCUCCGACAGAGGAGAGCAUUGCCACUACUCCUGAUUCUACAAUAGUUUCCCCAACAGAGGAAAGUGAGCUCCCUGCUCUUAAUUACACAAAACCUUGUCUGAAAGAUGAAAGCGCCCCCCUGCAGCUGCAGCUCACCAACACCUCUGCCUAUUACACCUACCUCGUGUUCCUUCUCGUGAGCGCAGUCUACCUUGCCACCGUCGCCUUGUGUCUGUUAAGGAGAACAGCAGUCUGGGGCAAUGGAAAGAGUUCGUAACAGAUGGUGACCCAAGAAAGCAACUUUCCUCCAUUGUUUAUACUCCCUAAAACUGUCUGCCGAGGAUCUAGACGGACUUUCUCUCUGAGUUUGGGUUAUUUCAGCUCACAUGCGUACUUUUCUGUUAUGUCAUUAUUGUGUAAUGGUUUUUCAAAUCACUGGACAAACAGAAAAUCCUACUCUGUAACGAUGCUGUAUACUGCCAUUACUCAGGGGCAGGGCCAAGCGGUAGUCCUUUAGCACCACUCUCUCCAUGAUCCCCAUCAGCUCCUCCAACAACCCGAAUAACCAUGCCUUCUAAGUACAGACAACAUGCGGCUCUAGUCACGUCGCUUAGGACCUUUUAACCAGAACCGCCUUGAAGCCUUCCAUUUUACACACCCUAAUCCAACAUCAUUGCUACUUAAAUUCUAUAUAUUUUUUUUCAUAAUAGGAGCAAUAAAAAAAUCAAAAGUC
rnacentral:lncRNA from 1 species